GUCAACAGUGCCAUGCUGAUUGCUACUUCGUGAAGAUCAGCCGUGACUUCAAAUAGUAGAAUGUUCAACUAGCGAUGGCUUAGGCAAUAGAGACAGUUACUUCACAUACCCUCAAGAGGCCCCACUCUCUGUUUUUCUGCUCUAGCAUCCUCAGCUUUUCCUCAGUUGGCUUUUCUUUCUCAUUCCGGUCACCUGAAAGCCACACCAUGGCUUCCACGACUCUGAGCAUCACACAGUAAGGAGUAAGGAAGGAAGGAGGGGAGGAUGCCAUAGUGACAAAAGAUACCUGUGUGCACCUUUCUCCUUUUUAAUCAGGAAUGGAAAACGUUUCCCAAAAUCUCCUCAGGAAACCUCCUUCUAGGUCUGUCAUAACUUUCUCCCAUGCAAGAGUGUCUGAAACAGAGUCAGACGCAAAAGAGGGUACCUGUUCUCCAGAAUUGGACCAGAUCCGUCUGCCUCCAGGUAAAGAGCUCUGGAGCCAGAGGACCUCCAGGAUUGGUGAAACAGCUCUGCAGCACCAUCGAGGCCCAGGGUCAUCUGCCGUCCACAGCAAGCCUGGGCAUGUUGAUUUCUUCCCUCCGUUUGUCCUCUUCAUGCUCACAAAACCACUGCCAUGUCUCUAGGGCCUCACAUCCUUGCAAGUUUUGCCUCAAGUACCUUUUCUCUUUGGACAACUCUGUUGCCUGAAAUAUAUAAAAAUCAAGUCUGGUUGGCAAGGAAAAUGGGGUGAAUGAUUGCUGGAUAGGCAUCCAGUUCUCCCUGCUUUAACCAAUGUGCCUAGAUUAUGUCCUUAUCUCCAAGUAGUUUUUGUUGCCUAGAGGUCUGGAGCAUCUAAUCUUUGUGGAAAGGGGACAAGGACAGUGAAAAUGAGAAUGUUUUUCAUGUAGUUAAGGUGAUUAAGGCCAUAGAGAUAUAUUUGAAACAAAAUCAUAAUUUUUCUUCCAAAGUGGUACCGAAU
rnacentral:lncRNA from 1 species